UACAGAGGGGGCGAGCGUUGUUCGGAAUUACUGGGCGUAAAGGGCGCGUAGGCGGCCAACUAAGUCAGACGUGAAAUCCCUCGGCUCAACCGGGGAACUGCGUCUGAUACUGGAUGGCUUGAAUUCGGGAGAGGGAUGCGGAAUUCCAGGUGUAGCGGUGAAAUGCGUAGAUAUCUGGAGGAACACCGGUGGCGAAGGCGGCAUCCUGGGACCGAGAUUGACGCUGAUGCGCGAAAGCCAGGGGAGCAAACGGG
rnacentral:rRNA from 1 species